UUAAAAUGGAAGAAGAGGAGGUAUGCAUCGCCGUUCGAUGGGUAUAAGACACGUCAAGACCGAAGCCGAAGCGACCGAGGUCCCAUGGCGUCGUUAUCCCUCUCGACCACGCGCCUCCUCUUCCUACGCCGCUCGCCGCCGCCGCAGCAGCAGCAGCUCCCCUGCCCGAGCCAUGGACUCGCUGCCCCUGUCACCUGCGGCCCCCGCGACAACCGCGGGAAGCUCCUCCGUGGCCGGACCCUCAGCACGGAGGCCAUCCUGGCCGUCCAGGCCCUCAAGCGCGCCGCGGCCGCGGGCGACGAGGCCAGGGUCCACCGCAUCAUCUCCGUCGACCUGGGUCGCCUCAUCAAGGCCGACCUCCUUGCGGCACUCGCGGAACUGCAGCGCCAGAACGAGUGGGGCCUCGCCUCGAAGGCCUUCGCGGCCGCCCGCCGGGAGCCGUGGUACCGGACUGACCUCGCCCUCUACGCCGAGAUGGUGUCCAGCUUGGCAAGGUGCGGUGCGUCGGAUGAAAUCGAUGCCCUGGUGGCCUGUCUCCUUGAGGAUGAGGAGGGAUGGAUCUCCUCUGAGAAUACCAAGGAGAUUUCUCGGUUCGUUAGGGCUUUGAUGGCGGCUGAAAAGGCGAAGCUUGUGAGAGAUGUUUACGGGAAUUUGAAGAGCGGGGGAUUCGAGCCGGACGAGUUCUUGUUUAAGUUUCUGAUAAGAGGGUUGAGGAGAUUGGGGGAGGAUGCUGCUGCUGAAGAGGUGGAGAGAGAUUUUGAGGUGUGGUACGAGUGUGGAAGUUUGCCCAUGGAGCCGCUGCCUGUUUGAUGAAAUGCUUGAACGAACAUUAAAUAGUUUCUGCAGAUGCAACCAAACACAAUAAGCUCCAUGGAGCAGCUCCUACUUUGGAAAACUACAAGUAUAGGGAUUACUUGCUUUGAUUUUUUUACUGUUGUCAGGAGAUUAUAUACAUGAACUAGUGGGAUGCCUUGGAAGAUGAUUAUCUAAUAGAUUCCACCUCAUAAUGAAGAGGAUCAUGGAGCACAGGUUUCUGCAUCUUCUUGUCCUAUAAUUUGUUUUCCAUUUCUCUUAUUCUAUAUGCCCACAAUACAUCCCAACAUUUUAGCAUCAGCUUGUAGUUUAUUGUUUGUCAUUAUGUUCACCCAGUGAUAUUUAUAUAUGUGUGUAUGGUUAAUAUUGAUGAUAAGUUAAAAAAAUAAAAUAUAUAGCUCUCUCCA